GGUUUCAUAAUGUAGUGGUUAUCACGUCUGCUUUACACGCAGAAGGUCCUGGGUUCGAGCCCCAGUGAAAGCA